GUCCGAGAUACAUCGAACGUGGGGUGAGAACUCUAUAGCUCAAAAUUUAAGCCCUGCACUUUUUUAGAUCUACCCCGUUGAGUGGCAUUUUUGUGAAAAUUAUGUAAAUAUAUUUAUCAGAAUAAGGGAGAAGUGUAGGGGGCGGCGGGUGAGGUGCAGAAGAAGAAUAAGAAGAAGUUGUACCUAUCCAGUAAUUUUAUCUUGAUUUGUGGAUUAGACGAAGACUAGAUUUUGAUAAAGAAAUCGACAAACUUAAACUGCAGCACUCCAGCAGCCUUACCCCGCGUUCGAUGUCUCUCGGAUGACGAAGAUUCUACGUCGUCCAGCCAAUCCCGUCCAAGGACUCGUGGCGCUGCUCGCCUCCUCGCCAAUGCGAACGCGUUCUCUGAGGACAACCCGCCCAAGGCUAGUAUGGCGAAGCCACGCCACCGCGCCGGCUAUAGACUCACGGCCUGAAGCGAGUUUGGGCGCGACGGCUGGCGAGCCAAGGCGGCGGAAAGUCGUCUGGCGGAGCUCCCGCCUGAGGCGAGCUUGAUCUGGUCGCAUCAAGCCAAGGACGCCAAGGACUGCCGCAUCAAGGUAGCUGGAAACACAGUCGAGGCGCAGGAGACCCUCCACCUCCUGGGCGUCACACUGGACAGACUCCUACACUUCGGGCCGCACUGCCGUCGUCUACGAAGAAAGACAAGACCACGAAUCAACCAACUCAGACAGCUCACCGGAAGGUCGUGGGGGCUCGGCGAGAGACUCCUCCGGACGGUGGCAAACGGAUACAUCCGC
rnacentral:misc_RNA from 1 species